CCUACGGGUGGCAGCAGUGAGGAAUAUUGGUCAAUGGACGAGAGUCUGAACCAGCCAAGUAGCGUGAAGGAUGACUGCCCUAUGGGUUGUAAACUUCUUUUAUAUGGGAAUAAAAUGUUUCACGUGUGGGAUUUUGUAUGUACCAUAUGAAUAAGCAUCGGCUAACUCCGUGCCAGCAGCCGCGGUAAUACGGAGGAUCCGAGCGUUAUCCGGAUUUAUUGGGUUUAAAGGGCGUGCAGGCGGGAAGACAAGUGAGAUGUGAAAUCACGCGGCUCAACCCCGGAACGGCAUUUGAAACUGUUGUUCUUGAGUACCGGGGAGGUCGUCGGAAUUCGUUGUGUAGCGGUGAAAUGCGUAGAUAUAAGGAAGAACACCGAUGGCGAAGGCAGAUUACUGGACGGCAACUGACGGUGAGGCGCGAAAGCGUGGGGAGCGAACAGGAUUAGAUACCCGUGUAGUC
rnacentral:rRNA from 1 species